CGAUUAAGCCAUGCGAGUCGAGAGACAUAAUGGUCUCGGCAGACCGCUCAGUAACACGUGGAUAACAUAACCUAAGGUGGGGGAUAAUCUCGGGAAACUGAGGAUAAUACCCCAUAGGUCUUCGAUGCUGGAAUGCUCAAAGGCCGAAAACUCCGGUGCCUUAGGAUUGGUCUGCGGCCUAUCAGGUAGUAGUGGGUGUAAAGGACCCACUAGCCCAUGACGGGUAUGGGCCUUGAGAGAGGGAGCCCAGAGAUGGACUCUGAGACAUGAGUCCAGGCCCUACGGGGCGCAGCAGUCGCGAAAACUUCGCAAUGGGGGCAACCCCGACGAGGGGAUUCCAAGUGCCAGCACUUUGUGUUGGCUGUUUUCCUGUCUAAAAAACAGGAGGAGUAAGGGGCGGGUAAGACGGGUGCCAGCCGCCGCGGUAAUACCCGCGCCCCUAGUGGUGGUCGAUAUUAUUGAGCCUAAAACGUCCGUAGCCGGUCUUUUAAAUCCUUGGGUAAAUCGGGCAGCUUAACUGUCCGAAUUCCGAGGAGACUGGAAGACUUGGGACCGGGAGAGGUCAGAGGUACUUCUAGGGUAGGGGUAAAAUCCUGUAAUCCUGGAAGGACCACCGGUGGCGAAGGCGUCUGACUAGAACGGAUCCGACGGUGAGGGACGAAGCCCUGGGGCGCAAACGGGAUUAGAUACCCCGGUAGUCCAGGGUGUAAACGCUGCGGGCUUGGUGUUGGGGGUCCUUCGUGGGCGCUCAGUGCCGGAGAGAAGUUGUUAAGCCUGCUGCUUGGGGAGUAUGUCCGCAAGGAUGAAACUUAAAGGAAUUGGCGGGGGAGCA
rnacentral:rRNA from 1 species